rnacentral:rRNA from 1 species
GAUUGCACAAUGGGGGAAACCUGCAUGCAGCUAUACCCGCGUGUGUGAUGAAGGUCUUAGGAUUGUAAAACACUUUCAGCAAGGGGAAAAAAUUAAUAUAAAUAAUACUUAUAUUAACUGAUAUUACCUGCAAAAGAAGUACCGGCUAACUCCGUGCCAGCAGCCGCGGUAAUACGGAGGGUACAAGCGUUAAUCGGAAUUAUUGGGCGUAAAGAGUACGUAGGUGGUAUAUUAAGUCAGAUGUGAAAUACUUAAGCUUAACUUAAGAACUGCAUUUGAAACUAAUAAACUAGAGUUUUAUAGAGGGGAGUAGAAUUCCAAGUGUAGCGGUGAAAUGCGUAGAUAUUUGGAGGAAUACCAGAGGCGAAGGCGACUCCCUGGGUAAUAACUGACACUGAGGUACGAAAGCUUGGGGAGCAAACAGGAUUAGAUACCCUGGUAGUCCAUGCUGUAAACGAUGUCAAUUUGAAGAUUGUAAUAUUAUUAUUUUUUAUAAUUUUCGUAGCUAACGCAUUAAAUUGACCGCCUGGGGAUUACGACCGCAAGGUUAAAACUCAAAUGAAUUGACGGGGACCCGCACAAGCGGUGGAGCAUGUGGUUUACAUUCGAUACAAGGCGAAAAAACUUUACCUACUCUUGACAUCUAUAAGUAUAAAAGGCC